AUUUCAAGUUUCACGCGGAAAUCUUAAACGAUUUAAUUGCAAUAAUUGAAAUAAAGAAAUGAAUUUCAACGUUCAUAUAAAAAUCCCAACAAUGAUUUUUUUAAUCUAGACAUUAAAAACAGAACAUUUCAUUUAUAAGUUUGCAACGAUAAAAUCUAAAAAAAAAAAGAAUAUAAUAAUGUAUUUCUGUUUGAAUUAAUCAUUUAAAGGAAUUUUCUCAGUCGGAUGAAAGUGAUCAAAGCGUCCUUGCUCUUGGAGCUAAUGUCAAUGCUCGACCUAGUUACCAUACGCUUCUCAGCCGCUGCGCUUAUCAUGAUUUCUAAAAAUCCAUUGGCCGGUAUAUCGUAGAAAUAUCACUUUAUAUUAUGGAUUUCUCAUCUUUUUGAAAUUAAACUCUUCAAUUAGAAGAGAUGAUUGGAAUGAUUUCCGGUUAUACACUGAGAAACACUUCCGGUUAUACACUGAAUCAAAAUUAGUAUACAUCUUUCAUCAUCCAUUUCUACUAACUUUCUUCUCAAUAGACUUUGCACUAUACUAUUCGAUGGAUCACUCGAUUCGCGUUUCAUUUCAUCUUAUAAUCCAAGUCAACUUUCACGACAUUUUUGUGAUUUUAUUUAAUCAUUUAUAUAUUUCUAAGAAAAACUUUUUUCUACAUUUUUUUUUUCAAGUGAGAGAUCUUUUCACUAUUGGAGAAAAGCUUAUGAUUGUAAAAAAGGAAACAUGUCUAAAAAGUCAUGCUACAAUAUAAAAAGAAAUAUGUGUUUGAAGGAAAAGAUAAUACGAAAGUUUGAAAGACAUUAAGAGCUGAAUAAAUAGAACAAAAGAAUGUAAUUUUUUCCGGACAAAUAAUCGCUCUUUAAUGAUAAUGAUCCUCGUGUUUUUUUUACACUUUUACUUUCUAUAGAGCAUGAAGUAUGAAGUACGGAUAAACUAAUUUUCUCCAUUGUUAUGUAUAAAUCUUAAAAGGAAUGUACCCCCGAGAAUUUAUGAAGCAACGUGUUUUACUUUCACAUAAACCACGAUCUACUCUCGAUCUUAAUACAAGAAAUGAACCGCAAGAAGAUCUUAUAGAUGAUUUUCUAAUAAUAGAUAUUGAUAUUGCACUAUAAUUAAUGAUAAUUAAAUAAUCUUUCAUUUCAGACUUUGUGUAUUAUAAAUCUUGACUUCAACUUUCUCUAUAUUGUUUUGAUUUUCAAAACAUAAAUUUAAAGUAACAUUGAAUUUAAUUAAGAAGAAUGAAUAAUGAAUCUAUCGCAAGUUCAAUGAUUAAAUGCAUAUUAAAACUGAUGAUUCGAGUGAAAGAUAGGAUGAUAUUUCGAUAGGAAAAUUGACACUUCACACAUAAAACAAAGGAUGCACAAUGAUCUUGAAACGGGUUUAACAUGCAUAUUGGAAAAUUGCCAAUCAUGUCGUUGGCUUACUUUCUUCGAUUGCAGACAGUCGAUGCGACCAAAAUUCAUAUGCGCGUCAUAUGUACGCUCUAUUAUAUUAAAAUACGCUUCGUCAAGCGCGGCACAUAAACAAGAAAGAAGAGGAAGAGAUACAUAUACUGCAGCCUUUUUUUUCUUUACUCAAGUUCCUUAGUCAAAGCACGCUAAUGAAAGCGAUUUCAGUGAAAUGCAAGUACAUCCCUCCGAAUAAUGAAUAAUGAAUAGCCAGUUUUACUCGAUUUUCAUCGGGUGGCUCGAUAGUUUUCAUAUUUUCCCCGGUCUCGCUUCACGG